rnacentral:tmRNA from 1 species
GGGGUAGUAAAGGUUUCGACAGGGUAUUAGAAGCUGGAGAAGCAAGCCGCAGAAGAUGCGUCAAAUCUUAAAUUAAAAUUAAACGCUGAAGAUAAUUUAGCACUCGCUGCCUAAUGGCAGCUGUCCGCCGCUUUGCACCUGCACAUAGCGGGGCGGGCAUCAUCUAUGCAGGAAACGACAUAUGUGAUGCUUUUAGCAUAUGGGCGUAUUAAAAAGCUACCAACCCCAUAACCCCGCCAUUCGGGGUAUGGCAGAGGGAAUGUUAAAAGAAUGGCUAAGCUUGUAGAAGUACGGUGGAAGAUGCUUUGGACGCGGGUUCGACUCCCGCCUACUCCACU